UCCCUUAUAGCUCAGUUGGUAAAGUAUCUGUCUGCAAUGCAGAAGACCCGGGUUCAAUACCUGGGUCAGGAA
rnacentral:tRNA from 1 species